rnacentral:lncRNA from 1 species
AAGAGAUACCUAAGAACUAAGUGAGCAUGAUCUCCUACAAUCUAAGUUUUAGAAGAGAGAGAGAUUGGUAAAAGAUUCUGUGUUAUGCUGUUCCCCUUUGUAGCCUCUGAGGUCAGGUAGCAUAUAUUCUUUGUGUACAGCAGGAGCCCAGUGUGUAACAUAUUUAGGGCUGGGCUGUUGCUGAUUUAUCUCUACCUAGGUAAAAGGCAGAGAUGUGGAUUGUACAAAGACAAAUAAUUUCAAAUAAAUAUCAGCAUUAAUGUUUAUGUCUAUAGUUGUUUAAAAUUUGUCUCAUUUGAAUACUUCAAGUACCCUAUUAUCGGCCUACCAAAUUCUAUCUCCUUCAAGUCCCAACAUGAGGGAAAAAUCCUUCAUCAGUCAUCCUCGGAAACCCACUAAACCAUAUGAUUUCAAUCUCCGUUGAAUCUCUCAAGUCUUUGCUUAUACUAUGAGAACCUGACAC